GUGCCCGCUUCAGCAGCACAUACAUUAAACUUGGAACCAUACAGACAAGAUUAGCAUGGCCCCUAUGCAAGGAUGACACACAAAUCUGUGAAGUGAAAUCCUGGGUC
ensembl:snRNA U6 U6 spliceosomal RNA